UCUCAAUAUGAUUUUGAUAUUAACUAAAGAUUAGUCUUAUCAUUUGUGGAAAAUAUAAAAAUAAAUCGCUAAUUAACUCAUUUGAUUGCUGUUCAUUUUCUCGGUAACUUGAAUUGAUCAUAAUUUUACUUUGUAUUUCCUUGGAUCAGAUUCACUAAAUCAUUUUAUCGAAAUGGAUCUAAAAGUUUUAACUGUCGCUCUUUUCUACUUGGGAAUCAAUGUGAUUUACUGUACAAACCCGAUCGAAGAUUCUGUUUGGCUUGAAGCGGCUGCUGACAAAUAUAAUCCAGCUGGUGAAAUCCUUGAUCCGAAAACGAAUUGACCACAAGAUUGGACAAAUAGAACUGGUCAAAUCUUCUGUUGGAAUCAAUAAAAAACAAGUUGAGCUUUGUGACAAUACAAUCAAAGGCUUAAAAAGCGUCAAAACUGGUCUUCAGUUUAUGGACCAAACUGAAAGUAUCUAUGGGGGCGAAAGUAGCGACCAAAUACUCAAAGGUUACAUUAAGCAAUUCGCUAAAUUGACAGAAACUUUUAAUAAAGAAUUGGAAUCACUUCGAAUUCUGAUCUAACGAAAGACACUCCGUCGGCGAUUAUUGAUCUUCUAGCAACCUCUUGCAAUAGCUGCCAGAAUAAAGCUUUGAGCUCGAUUAAUAUUUACAGAACUGAUAUCGAAUCGAAAAGUUUAACUGCCGAAAAUGAUCUUCUUCGGACUUAUGGAAACGCUGCUAAACGGCAACUAUCUUCUCUUUACGAUGUUAUUAAAGUCGGAAAUUCUGAUCUGAAAGCAGAAAUGUACCACUUGAAAGAAAUAUUAUUCUCUUUCUACCGACAAUAUGAAAUUCUAAUUGCACAAUAAAUGUCACGUUAAAAUAACCACUGGUCAAUAUGCUUUGUCUUAUCAAAUAAAAAGUAUUAAUAUUAAAAAUAAUUUCAUAAAACUGGA